rnacentral:rRNA from 1 species
UACGUAGGGUGCAAGCGUUGUCCGGAAUUAUUGGGCGUAAAGAGCUCGUAGGCGGUCUGUCGCGUCUGCUGUGAAAACUCAGGGCUUAACCCUGAGCUUGCAGUGGGUACGGGCAGACUAGAGUGCGGUAGGGGAGACUGGAAUUCCUGGUGUAGCGGUGAAAUGCGCAGAUAUCAGGAGGAACACCGGUGGCGAAGGCGGGUCUCUGGGCCGGUAACUGACGCUGGAGGAG